rnacentral:rRNA from 1 species
UACGUAGGUGGCAAGCGUUGUCCGGAUUUACUGGGCGUAAAGGGCGUGCAGGCGGUUUGUUAAGUGCAGGGUGAAAGCUCCCGGCUCAACUGGGAGAGGUCCUUGCAUACUGGCAAACUCGAGGGAGGCAGAGGAAAGUGGAAUUCCCGGUGUAGUGGUGAUAUGCGUAGAUAUCGGGAGGAACACCUGUGGCGAAGGCGGCUUUCUGGGGCCU